CCUACGGGAGGCAGCAGUGGGGAAUCUUGGACAAUGGGGGCAACCCUGAUCCAGCCAUGCCGCGUGUGUGAAGAAGGCCUUCGGGUUGUAAAGCACUUUCAGUGAGGAGGAAAACCUUAUGGCUAAUACCCAUGAGGCUUGACGUUACUCACAGAAGAAGCACCGGCUAACUCCGUGCCAGCAGCCGCGGUAAU
rnacentral:rRNA from 1 species